GUAGGGAAUAUUGCACAAUGGGCGAAAGCCUGAUGCAGCAACGCCGCGUGCACGAAGAAGGCCUUCGGGUUGUAAAGUGCUUUUCUGCAGGACGAGGAAGGACGGUACUGUAGGAAUAAGGAUCGGCUAACUACGUGCCAGCAGCCGCGGUAACACGUAGGAUCCGAGCGUUAUCCGAAUUCACUGGGCGUAAAGCGCUUGCAGGCGGUCUGGUAAGUUGGAUAUGAAAGCUCCUGGCUCAACUGGGAGAGGCUGUUCAAGACUGUCAGACUAGAGUACGACAGAGGGAGGUGGAAUUCCCGGUGUAGUGGUGAAAUGCGUAGAUAUCGGGAGGAACACCAGAGGCGAAAGCGGCCUCCUGGGUCGUAACUGACGCUCAGAAGCGAAAGCUAGGGGAGCGAACGGGAUUAGAAACCCUAGUAGUCC
rnacentral:rRNA from 1 species